rnacentral:rRNA from 1 species
CUACGGGGCGCUGCAGCUACGAAACCUCCACAAUGCACGAAAGUGUGAUAGGGGAACUCCAAGUAUCUUCUAUGAAGAUUUUUAUUAUGUUUAGAACGCAUAGUGAAUAAGAGGUGGGCAAGACUGGUGCCAGCCGCCGCGGUAACACCAGCGCCUCAAGUCGCAUCCGCGUUUAUUGGGUCUAAAGCAUCCGUAGCCUGUUUUUUAAGUCCUUUGUCAAAUUUAUCAGCUUAACUGAUAAUCUGCGAAGGAUACUGGAAAUCUCGGGACCGGUAGGAGUCAGGAGUAUUCUAGGUGGAGCGGUAAAAUGUGAAAAUCCCUAGAGGACUAUCUGUGGCGAAGGCGCCUGACUAGGACGGGUCCGACGGUGAGGGAUGAAAGUUAGGGGAGCGAAAGGGAUUAGAUACCCGUGUAGUC